ACGUUGUAUUGUUACCAAACGAUGGCGCCAACCACCCUUGUGAAAGCAAUCGUCGUCUGUUAAAUAAAAUACUCGAAAACGUUGAGUUUAUGACUUUAUGUCUUUAAGUAUUACGAUUGUUGAUUGUUGAAUCAUUGGAAACGUUAUUUGGUCAUCAUGCCUCCCAAAAGUCCCAAAACUGCUGCAGUUAAGGGAGACAUUCGAAAUUUUUUCACGUCGAUCGCCCCGAAAUCGUCGAAAUCACCGGGUUCAGCAUCGAAUGUGAAAGACGAGGAUGCAGGGAAACGAAAGAAGAAAGCCAUGGUUCUUGUUGACUCCACAGAUUCAGACUCGGAAGGGCCUAUCAUGAAACCAGCGUCCUUAAAGAAAACAAAAGUGGAAGACAUACCAAAGAAGGAGACUGUUGUUUCAGCCUCCAAACUCAAGAAACAUGCCAAAACACCUGAAACUCCACUUCAACCUGUUGACAUCGGCUCAGUAUUCGGCAACAAGCCCAUCCAGAGGAGCAAGGAAAUACCAGAGAAAAGGAAAAGAACAGUCAUUGAAGAUCACAGUGAUGAAGAUUUUGAAGCCACACUGCAGCAGCUGGAUGAAGCCCCAGUGACGAAAAAGUCAAAAGUGGUUGAAAAGUCAACAAGUAAAAAGGGCAAACCCGAUUCUCCAACCAAGAAAGAGAAAAUCAAAUCUCCUGCCAAGGAAGAGAAAUCCAAGUCUAGCCCUCCAUCUAAAAAUGAGAAAACAUCUUCAAAAGAGUCAGCCCGGGUGGAAGUAAAGAGGGAUUCUGACAAGAAGAGAAAGGCUGCUGAUUCAUCCGUCACUCCCAAGAAGAGCACUCCCACUAAGGAUGCCAAACCCAGUGAAGAGAAAGACAAAAGAAUCAAAUCCCAGCUGAAAGAAUUGGACUCUAAUUCAAAUAAAACCUCUUCAACCCCCAAGUCAAACAAAAAGAUGAAGGCGGAGACAACAAUUGUCAAAGAAACUCCCAAAAAGAAGUCGAGCAAAGAUGAUGACGACGACGACCCAGAUGUAAUCGACUCGCCGGCCUUCGAUGCCUUAGAAAAGCGAAAAGAAAAGGCCGAGAAUUACCGGAAAUUCCUUGCUUCUCGCAGAGACGGCGGAGCGAAAAAUCCCGGCAGUAAACCCGUUCCGGAGGGAGCUCCGGGAUGUCUGACGGGAUUGACCAUUGUCGUUACAGGCGUUUUGGAAUCCCUGCACCGUGAAGAGGCCGAAGGGCUUGUCAAGAAAUAUGGCGGCAAAGCGCCUAAAGCUGUCAGCAAGAAUACGACGUAUCUAUUGGCCGGCGAUGAUGCGGGUCCCUCUAAGCUGUCGAAAGCCAAGGAUCUCAAUGUACCCAUGCUCAGUGAAGAUGAUUUCUUGAAAUUGAUCGCCACAAGACCUGCCGGCCAAGGUUUAAGUUCUCCGGCUGCCAAGAAAGCCCCGACGACACCUAGGAGCGCCCAUAAAGCCGCCGCGUCCAAGAAAGCCGAGCCAGAGCCUCCUAGCAAGCCCAUUACUGUUUCUAGUCCGCCCAAGAAGAAAUCCCCCGAACCCAAGAAAAUCGAUCUCAAACCGCAGCAGAGUAGCAGCAGCAGCAGCACGGCCGCUCCUAUCAGGAAAGCCGAGCCCAUUUCGUUAAAAAUGGAAGUCGCCGAAGGAAACGACCAAGCCCAACUACCCUGGGUCGACAAGUACAAACCGACCAGCUUAAAACAAGUGAUUGGAAUGCACGGAGAUCGGAGCAUCGCUAAAAAGUUGGUCUACUGGCUGAAAAGUUGGUACGAUAAUCGCGGCAAGAAACUUGCAAAGCCCAGUCCCUGGUCGACCAACGACGACGGAGCCUUCUUCAAAGCCGCUUUGCUCUCCGGCCCACCUGGCAUUGGAAAAACCACGACGGCCCAUCUGGCGGCCAAGGAGCUGGGCUACGACCUGGUGGAGAUGAACGCUUCGGAUACCAGGAGCAAGCGGCUGCUGCACGAGCACGUGAUGGAGCUCUUGUCGUCGCAAUCGCUGUCGUCGUACGCUCACGGUUCGGCUCAGAUUGAAGGCGGCCGCAAGCGGGUGCUCGUCAUGGACGAAGUGGACGGCAUGGCGGGUAACGAGGACCGCGGCGGGAUCCAGGAGCUGAUUGCCAUGAUCAAAACGUCGAAAAUCCCGGUCGUUUGCAUCUGCAACGACCGGCAGCACCCGAAAAUCAGGAGCCUCUCCAAUUAUUGCUACGAUUUAAAGUUCACCAAGCCGAGAAUCGAGCAGAUCCGCGGGGCCAUGAUGAGCAUCUGCUUCAAAGAGGGACUCAGCUUGAAACCGGAAGCUCUCGACGAGAUCAUCAUGGGAGCCAAUCAGGACGUCCGCCAGGUUCUUCACCACUUGUCGAUGCUGGCCUCGGGCAAGAAGAGCCUGUCGACCGAGAGCGCCAAACUGGAGGCGUCCAAGAGCAAGAAGGAUCUCAAACUGGGACCGUGGGACGUCGUCAAGAAGGUCUUCUCCGCCGAGGAGCACAAAGGAAUGAGCAUCCACGACAAGACGGGCCUCUUUUUCCAGGAUUACAGCUUCGGUCCCUUGUUCGUCCAGGAGAAUUAUCCGUGCGUCGUGCCUCAGGCGGCCAAAGGCAACGCCAUCAAGACGCUGGACUUGCUGGGCCGCACCGCCCACUGCAUGUCUCAGACGGACCUGAUCGAGAAAGUCAUCCGCUCACAGAACGCUUGGAGUCUGCUACCGGUGGAGGCCGUUUUCGCCAGCGUGGUGCCCGGCCAGCUGAUGGAGGGUUUCAUCAGCUCACAAAUCGUGUUUCCCAGUUGGCUGGGCAAGAAUUCGCGCACCAACAAGAUGGACCGUCUCCUGCAGGAGCUGCAGACGCACAUGCGUCUCAAGAUCUCUGGAUCGAAGCGGGCCGUCAAUCUCGACUACCUUCCCUACGUCCUCAAUUCGAUCGUCGGACCUUUGAAGCGGUCAGGAGCCGACGGGGUCAGCGAGGCUAUCCGGGCGAUGGAGAGCUACGAUCUGAUGAGGGAGGAUCUCGACUCGCUCCUCGAGGUGGCUCAAUGGCCACAUAAACCAGACAUCAUGGCCGGAAUCGAAGGCAAAGUCAAGGCGGCCUUCACCCGGGCUUACAACAAAGAAGCUCACAUGACACCGUACGCUGCCGGCCAAGUGAAGAAGGGCCGAUCGAAAGACACGGCCGACGAUUUGGAAGCCCUGGAUGGAGAUGAGGAUGGAUUGGCUGGUGAGGUGGACGAUGAGGAGCAGAGCGAAGAUCCAUCGCUGGAUGCCAUGAUCAAAGUCAAGAAGGAAUCGAAGAAGACGGCCAGCAGCUCAGGAGCAGCGGCAGCAGGAGCGGCGGGCAGGAAAAAAACAGGAGCCCCAGCUGCCACCAGAGGUCGAGGCGGUGGCCGUGGAGGUCGCAAGAAAGCCGCUGAAUAAUUGACCGUGUGUUUUCCUCCGCUGCUAUGCAAUGGGCGGCUCCUGGGCACUGGGGGAGCGAAAAACCGCCGCCAACAAGGAGCCCAGGAGUAUAAUUGGAUUCUAGACGCCCGCUAGCGCUGUGAGGUCUUAUAUAGUAUUCUCAUUGAUAUCUCUCUCUCUUUUUUUCUAAUGGAACGAUUCCAUUCUUUUUUCCGCUUUUCUUCUCUUAUGGCGGGGAUUUGAAAUAAGGGCGGUAAAAUCAAUGUUUUUUCUCUCCCCUUUUUCUCUCCGUGCUGCCGUUAUUGUGAUUAUUAUUACCCGAAAAACUCUGUCUAUGCUCCUUUUUUCUGUUGUUGCUGUUGUUGUGUAAAGAAGCUCAGCGGAUGGAAAAGCCCCGCCAGAAUAAGGAGCUGAGCUGAGCCGCCCACAGCAUCUCUCGCAAACGCAACACAAAUGGACCGAGCGCGCAUUUUUGAAUUGACGUAAAGAGACAUUGUGCGUCUGUCUGUCUGUCUGUGUGUGUGUGCACGGAUAAUGUUUGGCUGUGCUGCAUGUUGCUCUUUUAUAUACUUACACAUUUUCGGCUGCCUUCGAGUCACACACAAUUCGAGCGGAAGAUCCAGUCAACCGUAUCCCAGCAGCACUCUAUCCAGAUUCUUGUCUCUUAGCAUUUUCCACGUAUUGUUGUUGUACACAGUUGGUCUUCUUCUUUUACUUGUCCGGUUUAGAGUACAACACACAGACAUGUUUCCGCUCGGAUAUUAGACUGGCGACACGUUCAUUUCCGUCAUCUCAUAGAGCGAUAGACCCCAUCUCAUUUCCUUGCGAGUUAUUAUGUAGGAGAUUAUCAAAUGUGCACGUUCAAAGAAGAAGAAGAUGAAUCGUAUUAUCAUGUACAUCUAUUACUUCUUUCUCGGUUAUAUCAUCAUAAUAUAAAUGCCCGUAUA